rnacentral:rRNA from 1 species
AGUGAACGCUGGCGGUAGGCCUAACACAUGCAAGUCGAACGGCAGCACAGUAAGAGCUUGCUCUUACGGGUGGCGAGUGGCGGACGGGUGAGGCAUACAUCGGAUUCUACUUUUUCGUGGGGGAUAACGUAGGGAAACUUACGCUAAUACCGCAUACGACCUACGGGUGAAAGCAGUGGAUCUUCGUACCUUUCCCGAUUGAAUGAGCCGAUGCCGGAUUAGGUAGUUGGCUGGGUAACGGCCCACCAAGCCGACGAUGCGUAGCCGGUCGGACAGGAUGAUCGGCCACACUGGAACGGAGACACGGUCCAGACUCCUACGGGAGGCAGCAGUGGGGAAUCUUCCGCAAUGGGCGAAAGCCUUACGGAGCAACGCCGCGGGGGUGAAGAAGGUCUUCGGAUUGUAAAACUCUUUUUUUAGGGAAGAACAAAUGUGUAAUUAACUCUGCACUUCUUGACGGUACCUAAACAGAAAGCCACGGCUAACUUCGUG